UACGAAGGGGGCUAGCGUUGCUCGGAAUCACUGGGCGUAAAGCGCACGUAGGCGGACUCUUAAGUCGGUGGUGAAAUCCUGGAGCUCAACUCCAGAACUGCCUUUGAUACUGAGGAUCUUGAGUUCGGGAGAGGUGAGUGGAAUUCCCAGUGUAGAGGUGAAAUUCGUAGAUAUUGGGAAGAACACCGGUGGCGAAGGCGGCUCACUGGCUCGUAACUGACGCUCAUGCACGACAGCGUGGGGAUCAAACAGG
rnacentral:rRNA from 1 species